CUACGGGAGGCUCCAGUGGGGAAUAUUGGACAAUGGGCGAAAGCCUGAUCCAGCAAUGCCGCGUGUGUGAAGAAGGCCUGCGGGUUGUAAAGCACUUUCAGUUGGGAAGAUGAUGACGUUACCAACAGAAGAAGCACCGGCUAAAUCCGUGCCAGCAGCCGCGGUAAUACGGAUGGUGCGAGCGUUAAUCGGAAUUACUGGGCGUAAAGCGCGCGUAGGCGGCUAAGUCAGUCAGAGGUGAAAGCCCCGGGCUCAACCUGGGAAUUGCUUUUGAUACUGCUUAGCUAGAGUUUGGUAGAGGAUAGUGGAAUUCCAGGUGUAGCGGUGACAUGCGUAGAUAUCUGGAGGAACAUCAGUGGCGAAGGCGACUGUCUGGACCAAAACUGACGCUGAGGUGCGAAAGCGUGGGGAGCAAACAGGAUUAGAUACCCCCGUAGUC
rnacentral:rRNA from 1 species